CCUACGGGAGGCAGCAGUGGGGAAUAUUGCACAAUGGGCGAAAGUCUGAUGCAGCGACGCCGCGUGAGUGAUGAAGGUCUUCGGAUUGUAAACCUCUAUCAGCAGGGAAGAACGUGAAGGUACCUGAUAAAGAAGGAACGGCUAAAUACGUGCCAGCAGCCGCGGUCAUACGUAGGGCGCGAGCCUUCUCCGGAUUUACUGGGGGUAAAGUGAGUGGAGGUGGCAGGGCAAGUCCGAAGGGAAAACCGUAGGCUCAACGAAGGGAAUGCUUUAGAAACUGGUCAGCUAGAGUGCCGGAGAGGCAAGUGGAAUUCCAAGUGUAGGAGUGAAAUCCGUAGAUAUUAGGAGGAACACCAGUGGCGAAGGCGGCUUUCUGGAACAUAACUGACGCUGAGGAGCGAAAGCGUGGGUAGCAAACAGGAUUAGAUACCCGAGUAGUC
rnacentral:rRNA from 1 species